UCUAAUGUAUGAGCAAAGAAAGUGGUUUCCUGAGACGGAAUCUACUCCUGGCGAAGAUGAUGUGAA
rnacentral:pre_miRNA from 1 species